AUUGAACGCUGGCGGCAGGCCUAACACAUGCAAGUCGAACGGUAACAGGAAGAAGCUUGCUUCUUUGCUGACGAGUGGCGGACGGGUGAGUAAUGUCUGGGAAACUGCCUGAUGGAGGGGGAUAACUACUGGAAACGGUAGCUAAUACCGCAUAACGUCGCAAGACCAAAGAGGGGGAGCUUCGGGCCUCUUGCCAUCGGAUGUGCGCAGAUGGGAUUAGCUAGUAGGUGGGGUAACGGCUCACCUAGGCGACGAUCCCUAGCUGGUCUGAGAGGAUGACCAGCCACACUGGAACUGAGACACGGUCCAGACUCCUACGGGAGGCAGCAGUGGGGAAUAUUGGACAAUGGGCGCAAGCCUGAUGCAGCCAUGCCGCGUGUAUGAAGAAGGCCUUCGGGUUGUAAAGUCCUUUUAGCGGGGAGGAAGGGAGUAAAGUUAAUACCUUUGCUCAUUGACGUUACCCGCAGAAGAAGCACCGGCUAACUCCGUG
rnacentral:rRNA from 1 species